CAGUCGCCGCGGUAAUACGAAGGGGGCUAGCGUUGUUCGGAUUUACUGGGCGUAAAGCGCACGUAGGCGGACUUUUAAGUCAGGGGUGAAAUCCCGGGGCUCAACCCCGGAACUGCCUUUGAUACUGGAAGUCUUGAGUAUGGUAGAGGUGAGUGGAAUUCCGAGUGUAGAGGUGAAAUUCGUAGAUAUUCGGAGGAACACCAGUGGCGAAGGCGGCUCACUGGACCAUUACUGACGCUGAGGUGCGAAAGCGUGGGGAGCAAACAGGAUUAGAUACCCCCGUAGUCCCUGUCUCUUAUAU
rnacentral:rRNA from 1 species